rnacentral:tRNA from 1 species
GAAAUAAUAAAAAAUUAAAGCUUCUAACUUAUAAUUUAAGCGUAAAAACGUUUUUAUUUCU